UCGAUUUGGUGAUGAAUCGCCCAUUAUGGCAUUGCCAUGGCGGUGAAAUCGCCCAUGUGCCAUUUUUUAUUUUCCCUAUUUUCUAAAGUUAUUUAGUAUGCUACUUUUUUAUUUCUCCUAUUUUCUAAGAAUGUAGACAAUAGACAAGUAUUUUAAUCCAUCCAAAUCAAAAGAUAAAGACAUUGUUGAGAAAUAAUAGAAAAUGAUUCCUUCCAUCCUACAUCAAUAAUUGCACAAGACCACAUUGAAUUGACAAGUGGGGGAAAAAAGAUGCACACAGGCCAACAAGACAUUAUUAUAAAUUUGUAAAAAAAUUUAUAUGAAACAACAUAUAUCAUAGAUUCACAGGAAACAUGGUUAAAAUAUGUUGCAACAGAAUAGAACUAGAAACUUAUAUGAGCCAACAUAUAUCAUAGAUUCCAAUGGAUUUUUCCCCUAGCACAUAGACUUACCUUGCUUAAUAUUAAUACAAUCCACAAUACAGAACAUGGUUCUUAAUCAUGGAAAAUCUGGUAAUUGAAGACCACAAUUUGACAAUCAUGACUGCUAGAAAAUUUGCAUCAAUGAAAAAGACAAUACAAGUAUACAACAUCACCAAAAAAAAAAAAAAAAAAAAACCAAGGAAAUCAGAACAGAGAAAGAUUUAUGUUCUGUGUGAGUGAACUAAGGAAGAGGAAGAAGAAGAUGAAGAAGAAGAUUAGAAGAAGAGAAGAGACUGAUUACUGAUUAGUAGUAGAAAAAGGGGGGGAAAAAGAGGUGAAGACUUUGAAGAGUCAAACAAACCAGACUCUGUAGGGUCAUGGAAGAAGAAGGUUAGAAGAGGAGAAGAGGAGAAGAGGAGAAGAAGAGAAGAAGCCAGAGGCAAGGAAGAAGAAGGUUAGAAGAAGAGAAGAAGAGUCGAACAUACCUAUCUUCGCUGGAGCACAGAAGCAGCAAUGUCGGAGCAGGAACAGCUAUCGCCGGAGCAAAAUAACAGAACAAAAAGAUUUCUAUUCUUUGUGAGUGAACUAAGGAAGAGGAAGAAGAAGAUUAGAAGAAGAGAAGAGACUGAUUACUGAUUAAUAGUAGAAAAUGGGGAAAAAAAAAGAGAGAUGAAGACUUUGAAGAGUCAAACAAACCAGACUUUGUAGGGUCAAGGAGGAAGAAGGUUAGAA